rnacentral:rRNA from 1 species
GUCUAGAGGCUUCGGCAAUGCGCGAAAGCGUGACCGAGCGACGCCGCGUGCGGGAUGAAGGCCUUCGGGUUGUAAACCGCUGUCAGUGGGGAAGAAUGCCCGGAUGGUGAAUUCGGGAGCGACGGUACCCGCAGAGGAAGCCCCGGCUAACUCCGUGCCAGCAGCCGCGGUAAUACGGAGGGGGCAAGCGUUGUUCGGAUUUACUGGGCGUAAAGGGCACGUAGGCGGAGUAGCCCGUCCGAUGUGAAAGUGCUACCGCUCAACGGAGCAAAGCCAUCGGAAACAGUUAUUCUUGAGUCCGGGAGAGGUGAGUGGAAUUGCCGGUGUAGCGGUGGAAUGUGUAGAGAUCGGCAAGAACACCAGUGGCGAAGGCGGCUCACUGGCCCGGUACUGACGCUGAAGUGCGAAAGCGUGGGGAGCGAACAGGAUUAGAAACCCCUGUAGUCC